AGUGGCGAACGGGUGAGUAAAGUAUCGGAACGUGCCCAGUCGUGGGGGAUAACGUAGCGAAAGUUACGCUAAUACCGCAUACGAUCUAUGGAUGAAAGCGGGGGAUCGCAAGACCUCGCGCGAUUGGAGCGGCCGAUAUCAGAUUAGGUAGUUGGUGGGGUAAAGGCUCACCAAGCCGACGAUCUGUAGCUGGUCUGAGAGGACGACCAGCCACACUGGGACUGAGACACGGCCCAGACUCCUACGGGAGGCAGCAGUGGGGAAUUUUGGACAAUGGGCGCAAGCCUGAUCCAGCCAUGCCGCGUGCAGGAUGAAGGCCUUCGGGUUGUAAACUGCUUUUGUACGGAACGAAAAGGUUUGGCCUAAUAAGCUGAGCUCAUGACGGUACCGUAAGAAUAAGCACCGGCUAACUACGUGCCAGCAGCCGCGGUAAUACGUAGGGUGCGAGCGUUAAUCGGAAUUACUGGGCGUAAAGCGUGCGCAGGCGGUUAUGUAAGACAGAUGUGAAAUCCCCGGGCUCAACCUGGGAACUGCAUUAGUGACUGCAUAGCUGGAGUACGGAGAAAGGGGGAUGGAAUUCCGGGUGUAGCAGUGAAAUGCGUAGAUUUUGCGGAGAACACGAAUGGCGAACGCAAUCCCCUGGCCUGUACUGACGCUCAUGCACGAAAGCGUGGG
rnacentral:rRNA from 1 species